rnacentral:misc_RNA from 1 species
CUUUAAUCCUUCCUGCACGAAAUUCAAACAAGAAUAAUGUCUGACCAUGCGGAAUCGUCCGAUUCCAGGAAAUCGGGGAAGAAAGACUUCUCGACGGCCAUUUUGGAGAGGAAAAAGUCGCCGAAUAGGCUGAUCGUUGACGAGGCUGUUAACGAUGACAAUUCUGUCGUUUCGAUGCACCCGGAGACUAUGGAGAAGCUCCAGCUCUUCCGCGGUGAUACCAUUCUCAUCAAGGGCAAGAAACGGAAGGAUACAAUUUGCAUUGCUCUUGCUGAUGACACCUGUGA